CGAGUUUGUACCUCCCAAAAAGGCCGUGUAUAACUCUAAUAGGUCAAGGCAGGGUAUAUCCAGAGUAUAUCAAGGUACAGCCCCUCAACCUCACAGCGCAGAGCUUUGGGCUGUUUUGUGGAUGCCACCUCUCCUCUGGCCAUGGAGAGGGAUCAGUCGGUAGCGCAGGCGGGCCUCUCCAGACACCAGCAGCAUGGUGUGGGGCAUAUCGUGGAGGGACACGUGUCACACUCACAUGUCCCACAGGACUCCUACAAGGAGGACAGAAUGCAAUCCAGCAAGGUCCAGAUCACAGAGGAAAUGAGAGAGGGCAUCAUUCGAGCAAGCUCGACGUUUUCGCCGAAUCAACAACAGUUUUGGGUGUUUGUCCUGAAACACAUGAUGAGUCCUCGAAAUGUACUUGAGAAGGAGCGUCACUACAGAAGGGCUUCGAAGCUUCGUCUUCGAUUCAAACGUGACGGCGAUUUUGCGAGGCAAAGGACGCAGCUGAACUUGUGUGGCUGAGUUGGGGCAAGGGACGUCCGUUGCAGAAGACAGAGCCACCUGUGCUACGAGUUGUGAAAGAGAUACACAGCACAAGUGUGCAGGAGUAUAUGGCAUCUAUCCGAAAGGACCUUGGCUGAAGUGACGGUACAUCAGCUGGUAUCGGCUGAGAACCGACGGAGGCUGGUCGGGACGCUCGCUGGCCGGACCUGGACCACCGCAGACGACCCACGCCGUCUGGCUUGGCCCACCAGAGGAGAUCGACGCCCAAGAGUCUCGCUUCCCUGACGGCUGGCUCUUCAGCUGCAGCAAUGAGAGCCGCCCUGGUCCCAUGCGUUCGCAUUCUGCACAGACUCGCCUGCACUUACGAGCGCGUGCAGGCACGAGGUGGUCAUUUUGUGACUACGGGACGUCGUUUCGAGCUUCAAGACUAGUGGUGUCAAUCGGAACUUGAAUCUUCGGAAUUCCGAUUUUGUCCUAUGUCCAAUUCGGAAUUCGGUUGGACAAUGGCAGCAGGCUUUGGACAACUUUGGACAAUCGCUUGCUACACCUCAACAUUUUUAAAAAGUAAUCGUGGUUAACAUUGAUUGGCUAUUAGAAAGUCCAGCUUUCGAUAUGACUAACACUUUUGAGCUUGUAACGGUACAUGAAAAGCAAAUUAAAUAACAGUGUUGAGUGUAAACUAUUGCGUAGGUGUCGGACAUCUUUGGACAAAUGGCUGGCUUGGACAUUUUUGGACGUACAAUCGACGUAGGCAUUGGACAUUGGACGGACUUUGGACAUACGUUUUCCGAAAUUGACACCACUAUUCAAGACGUCGUGAGCUGCGGCUCAUCGCGAUCUGCAAGAUGUCGCGAGCUGCGUGCCAAGCAGCAAAGCGUCGCGUGCGAUUCAAGAGACAAUGAUGGUACGCUUCCCUGUGGAGCGUCGGACACUAGUGAUUGUGGUCGUGCUCCAGCGGGAGCUGAAACUGUGCAUUGUGUGAUGUCAGUUGCAAAAACAGGCUUCGCUUCUUGUAGACACUUACUUUCGAAAAUGGAAAGAGUGGGGAGCCAUGUUGGAUUUAUUAUUCACUGUGAUUCGUGUCAUUUAAUUUUCUAAGUUUCCACUGUCCGUUCGGUGGUCGCAGUGUCGCGCGGCGGUACAGUGUAGCGGUGUGCAGUAGUAUUUGAACGAGACCAACGCCGCGGUUUGAGGCCGCUCCGCGCGGCCGCCGGUGCGGGUGCCCGCGUACUUGAAACGUGUGUUGUCACGUGACUGCGCCGAGCCGAGGUCGGGGUCGCUCCCCUGCCAGUGAGUCAGUCGGUAUCUGGCACUGGCUCGCUCUUGAUCUCCUUUGUUUCCUUUGCCUUGUUGCACCCUGAACAGGUGUUCUGAACCUGCACAGGUAUCCUCAUCCCGCCGAUGUGUUAACAAUUUAUUAAUGGCUCAUGCGGUUAUUUUCAUGAUUGUAUGUAAUUUGCAAUCGCUGUUAAAAUGAAUACUGCGCAUAUAUAAACGGCCGUAACGCAGCGAGCUCCGUCGGCGCCUGGGGUGGCGUCGGUGGCUGGUGGUCUGUAUCUAUUUGAAGAGACCAUAUUAAGGUCUUGAUAACGUCGCCGUUGCCGACGCUGACGUCGCGCCGGCCGCGUUGCCGUCUUAGCGCCUGGGGCCGGCUUCGCCGCGCGCGUCGUUGGCGGCAUCGGUAUCUAUGUUCAGCUGACACUUAAUAGCAUAUCCCGAUAGUUAAGACACUACGAAGACACUUAUGUGUGCAGCCGCUGACCAUCUGUGUGGGCAGCCGCUGCAGCCGCUGACCAUGUGAUCUGGACGGUUCCAAACAUGCAAAUGUUGAGUGUGGCAUGGCAUCGGGCCGGACGGCGAUGUUUGUCUGUGCGUUUUUCGCAGAAGGGGUGGGAGAGGAGGGAUUGUAAGAGCACGGGGACUAGCUGCUUUUUUGCUUUGAUCUGAGUUGCGUGCCUUGCCUCUUUUUGGAGGUUUCAUGUCAGUGUGAAAUAAAUGUUUUGGAAAAAAAAUAUAUAAACGGCCAGUCAGCUCA
rnacentral:lncRNA from 1 species